AGAUGAGUUCUCCCUGAGACUUUAAGUCUCCUGAAGGAACGUUGAAGACGACGACGUUGAUAGGUCGGGUGUGUAAGUGUAGCGAUACAUUGAGCUAACCGAUACUAAUGAACCGUGAGGCUUAACCUU
rnacentral:rRNA from 1 species